rnacentral:tRNA from 1 species
GGGCGUCUGGCGCGUGGGAUGGAUCGCGUUGGCGUUGGCAUUGCCGAUACGGCGGGCGUGCCGGCCGGCGGGCUCCGCUUGCGCGAUGCCGGC